CACGUAGGGCGCAAGCGUUGUCCGGAAUUAUUGGGCGUAAAGAGCUCGUAGGCGGUCUGUUGCGUCCGCUGUGAAAACUCGGGGCUUAACCCCGAGCCUGCAGUCGAUACGGGCGGACUAGAGUUCGGCAGGGGAGACUGGAAUUCCUGGUGUAGCGGUGAAAUGCGCAGAUAUCAGGAGGAACACCGGUGGCGAAGGCGGGUCUCUGGGCCGAUACUGACGCUGAGGAGCGAAAGCGUGGGGAGCGAACAGG
rnacentral:rRNA from 1 species